GAGCGACGCAGAGCUUGCUCGGAACCAAGAAGCAGCAGAUCGUAUUCUCCCUCCAGGUCCUACUAUCGAAAAGAUCCUUGCAAAGGAUGCACAAGUUCUUGAUCCGUAUGAGCAGAAGGUCAUUCACAUUGAAUAUGUCACCAUGAGACCCAAGAGUGGAUCUGAGUGGGAUUUUUGUUCCGCCUGCUAUUUUGGGGACGGCAAAAAACUCAGACAACACAAAGACGCUCUGGGGAAUCAUUUUGAUACCAAGCACGAUGAUGGUGGAGCAUGGGACAGGUGCCAAGUGUGUCAGGCCGUGUUUUACACUCAGCAGCUUAAAUGCCACUAUAAGUAUUGCCACCCGCACAUUGCAUUUGGUUAGGGAUUUGAAGCAGGUCUCAUCAUGAUCAUGCACGUGUCUCAAUCAGGAGAAGGCGUUUACAGUGGCUGGUGGUAGAGAAAAGCACAUGUUCUCCUAAAACAGCCCGUCAUUUUCUCGGAGAUGAUUUGUACAUCAGGAUGUUUCACCUUUUGGUUUUUCGUUUUCUCAUCUAGGAUCUAGGAGAAGAGAUAAUCUCAUAUUCAUUAGGUUAUCGUACAAAUUUGUGAUAAUUGUCCAAAACAUCAUUCCCAGUACUUCAUUGCUCAAGCAGCACACCUCCUGGCGUGAAGUUUAUAUCAUGGCAAUUCUCUUUGAUGAGUAAUAGGGCAAGUCUAAUGAACCUUCAUAAAGAUUCUUUAAUUCAGUUUGCAUAUGAGCAAUGUAGUGGGCCUGAUCAAUUUGCAUAAAGAUUAUGUCAUUUCAGUUCUCGCUGAUGAGCAACUGUGUAUGCCUUGUCUGUCUUGGAAUUGAGAGCUUGAAUGAUUA